GCACAGGUAGUCUAGAGGUUGGGCGGCGGACUGCAGAUCCGCUUAACGUGAGUUCGAAUCUCACCCUGUGCUCCA
rnacentral:tRNA from 1 species